CAGUCGCCACGGUAAUACGGAGGGUGCAAGCGUUAAUCGGAAUUACUGGGCGUAAAGCGCACGCAGGCGGUUUGUUAAGUCAGAUGUGAAAUCCCCGGGCUCAACCUGGGAACUGCAUUUGAAACUGGCAAGCUAGAGUCUCGUAGAGGGGGGUAGAAUUCCAGGUGUAGCGGUGAAAUGCGUAGAGAUCUGGAGGAAUACCGGUGGCGAAGGCGGCCCCCUGGACGAAGACUGACGCUCAGGUGCGAAAGCAUGGGGAGCAAACAGGAUUAGAUACCCCGGUAGUCCCUGUCUCUUAUAC
rnacentral:rRNA from 1 species